UACAGAGGUCUCAAGCGUUGUUCGGAUUCAUUGGGCGUAAAGGGUGCGUAGGCGGCGCGGUAAGUCGGAUGUGAAAUCUCGGAGCUUAACUCCGAAACUGCAUUCGAUACUGCCGUGCUUGAGGACUGGAGAGGAGACUGGAAUUUACGGUGUAGCGGUGAAAUGCGUAGAUAUCGUAAGGAAGACCAGUGGCGAAGGCGGGUCUGCUGGACAGUUCCUGACGCUGAGGCACGAAGGCCAGGGGAGCGAACGGG
rnacentral:rRNA from 1 species